rnacentral:rRNA from 1 species
UUGACCUCGAAUCAGGUAGGGUUACCCGCUGAACUUAAGCAUAUCAAUAAGCGGAGGAAAAGAAACCAACAGGGAUUGCCUUAGUAACGGCGAGUGAAGCGGCAACAGCUCAAAUUUGAAAUCUGGCCCCCGGGUCCGAGUUGUAAUUUGCAGAGGAAGCUUUUGGCGAGGCGCCUUCCGAGUUCCCUGGAUACGGGACGCCAUAGAGGGUGAGAGCCCCGUACGGUCUGGUGCCGAGCCUCUGUAAAGCUCCUUCGACGAGUCGAGUAGUUUGGGAAUGCUGCUCUAAAUGGGAGGUAAACUCCUUCUAAAGCUAAAUACUGGCCAGAGACCGAUAGCGCACAAGUAGAGUGAUCGAAAGAUGAAAAGCACUUUGAAAAGAGAGUUAAAAAGCACGUGAAAUUGUUGAAAGGGAAGCGCUUGUGACCAGACUUGCGCCUGGCAGCUUAGCCGUCCUUCUGGGCGGUGUACUCUGCCGGCUCAGGCCAGCAUCAGUUUCGGGCAGGGGAGAAAUGCGGCGGGAAUGUGGCUCUUCGGAGUGUUAUAGCCCGCCGUUAUGCCCUGCCGGGGACUGAGGUUCGCGCUCUGCACGGAUGCUGGCGUAAUGGUUAUCAGCGAC